AUGCCGAGAUGCCGAGUGUGGUUCCUGGGAAAGAAAGGAGCUAGAGGGGCCACGCUCUCUGCUCUGCACACUCAGAGCCCCCCAACAGCUCAAUCCCUGCAAAACGAACACCGCACAUGGUUUUCACUUUUCGCGCCUUGUUUUGUGAAAGGGAAAAAUCCUCUUCCGUUAGUGAAAACAGGUCCAGUUCCAGGUCCACAUGGUACAGGGUACCUUUGCCCCCUUUCUGUCUCUGCCCUUCUCCCCAUGCCGCACGUGGGUUUGGAAACGCAGUCCUGGUGGAGGACACAGGAUGAACAUGCGACCUGUGAGGAUUCAGGAGGCUGCUCGUCUCAUUCAAGGCACCAUUGAUUUGACAGCCCUUUCCCAAGUAUGUUAACAUCCCCGAUUCUCCUCUUCUGCAGACGGUGAGAGCUCCUCCCCACUAAGCCUGACUCCCCAGGGAGCCCUGGUUGUGACAGAUGCGGUGGUCAGACAGGACUGUCUGCUCAGUCAAAAUUCAGAGCAGGACUGGGACUCCUUUUCAUUUCACAAGGUUAAAAAAAAUGGUUCUUCGUUCGUCCUCUGUGGCGCCACUAGGGGAGAAUUUGGAAAAUUUAUACACACAGUCAAUAAGCUUGUCAUCAAAGAGGCACGGGGGCUCCCAGCUGGGAAGAACAAUUGGCAAAUUCUCCAUUCUGGGCUUUGUUUAUCCUCUCAUUGUGAUGCAUAAUCACUGCUUCCUUAAGAAGGUCUGUGAUUCUUAAUUAGAUUUGACUUUGCAAAUCUUGCAUUUUCCUGGAGAGAACAAGCAAACCAAGUGAAUGGUGGUGGCCUUGACCUGGCAACAGAUUGCCCCCAAUCUUGCUUCUGGCAAAAAGCACAGAGGUUGGAUGGCCUGAGCUGACACGUUAUCACAGAAUCCCGGAAAGUGAGGCGCACAGGGACUCACUCUCAUCCACUCUCAGCAUCCCAGCCCGCCCAGCUUCUUCUCCCUUCUGGGUACGUGUCUCUGCUGGGGAUGGGGCGCCCAUUCCGCUCCAGAAAGACCACGAUCCCACGGGGCAACUGCAGCUGCCAGAGACUACUGUCUUUUGCUCAAAAAUUGGUGCUACUGCCAGCCCCACCCCGUCCUUCCCCUCCCCUUUGAAGGGGCACGUGGGCACGUCUGCCACAC
rnacentral:lncRNA from 1 species